UUAGAAAAAUCAACAACAAAAACUUAGAAUAAUAGUCUCAGAGGAGAAUAGUCUUGAAGACAAUGACACAUACAUAUGUUUCUUAGCAAAUAGGCAAAAAUCAAUCUUUCUUUCUCUAAGACUUUAACUCUGCAUUCAAUUUAAAAAAGUCAUAGGAAUGGUAACCAAGGGAAAUAGAGUUGUAGCCACAAACCUAACAACCUCUUAGGAAAACCAAGCCGACCUAAUUAAUUAAUGUUUAUGGGACACCAAACUAAAAGUAGGAAAGAUAUUUUUAAUGAAAACUAUAUACGAGAGGAAAAGUGAAGGAAAAAGAAAGGCUUGGGGUCUAGUAUCUUUUACUUUGCUUGCUCCAUCUCUCCUCUCCUCUCCACUAGAUGGAUCCCAUUAAUAAAAAGAAAGUGAUGAUCUCAGAGUUUAGACUAAAAGAGAAAUUGACUACAAAGUCGUUUGCGUAUAAACUAAGAAAGAUUCAGUAGCCAUACACCAAAAAAACUCAAGUCUGGUAAAGCAGGGGCCUACAGAUGCAGAAAGAGCUAAUAAAUUAAGCUGUGCAAACUUAUUUCAUACCUGCCCCCAAAGCAAAGAGUUAGUUACUUUCAGCAAGCAAAAUAGGAUGUGGAAUUUGCGGCGGGUUUAGGUAGAGAAUUAAAGAAAGAUUCUUGUUCUAGUGUUAUCUUACAACUUGAUUCUUUGCUUUGCUAUUGGAAUGUCAAGACUUAAGGGUAAAAAAGAAAAGGUAACAUGACUCAUAUAGCUUUUAGAUCAAUCAAAAUUUCCAUCUACAAGUAGAGAAACCAAUCAAACCUCACCAAACAUGAACGAUUAAACAAAAGAAAAAGAAAAAAAGUCAGAAUUCUCCAGAAAACCGCAUAAACCAAAGAAUAAAUAUUAAAGUAAAGGAAUAAAGAAGAGUAUCUAUCUAUCCAUCCUUGUAGUAGUAUACUGUGACGAACCCCUAGGCAAAAUUUUGAAUUCCCCCAGUAACAAUAAAAAAAAAAAACCUUCAAAAGGAAGCAAAAAGGGAAACAAAAGAGGUAAAAAAAAAAAA